UUUUGAGUGUCACCUUAGCAAUGGAACCGUGUUUCUGAAUUUUGAUGCAGAAAUUUUCUGUCAGAUGAGCUGAACAUAUAUUUAUAGGAUGAAGUCCUAGAACUGAUUGCCAUGCCAAAUAAAAAUACAACCACUAUUUAUAUUGGUGUUAGAACAAUAUGUUGAUGGGUAGAACAAGAUGUUUCAGGUUUUUUUCUUAACCAGAAUAGUGCAAUAAAUAACCGAGGAACAGUUUCUUUAGAAACCUGAGAUUCUUUCCACAUUUAGCAUGCAGAAAAUCUUGUUUUUCUUCCUGUUCUAGUACAGAUCUUUUUUCAUAUAUUUUAUGAGAGUAACUUGCAGUGUUGCAGUGUCAUUUGCAAGAAUGAAACCCGUAUGAAGCGUACAGCAUUGAACUCCGGACAUCUAAGCCAUUAGGUAAUAUUCAUCAUCCGUGGUGGUAUCAGAGUCCGAGUCUGAGUACGCAGCUGGGUCAUCGUGAUAGAUGUCGGGCAGCUCCUGGGGCGAUGAAGCAGCAGAGGACACCUUGCUUCCAGCAGAACUCGAGCUGAAAAGCUCCGUUCUGCUUAUGGAAGGGGUCUCUCCAUCUCGGAAAGCACUUGGGUUGUUAAGAAGACAAGGUCUCCACAAUCGCCCUUCUGUGAGUGACCUCUUGAUAUUUUCCAGGAAAGCCAAUUGUUGUUCUUUGCCAAAUAUACCAAAUUCAAC
rnacentral:lncRNA from 1 species